UCUAAAGUCAAACCACCCCCUCCAGAUGCU
rnacentral:piRNA from 1 species